ACUCUCAUAAAGCAGGGGAGAAAGCAAAAUCUCAAAGGUGGUUUCUGCAGGGUGAAACUUAUCCAUUAUACUCCAGCCGUGCUGAUCCCUGUUAUUCCCCCCAAAUGUGGGAAACUCAACUGUAUUAGUGGCAGUGGGAGAAUUCAUUCACGAUUUUACCUU